rnacentral:rRNA from 1 species
GAUGAACGCUAGCGGCAGGCUUAACACAUGCAAGUCGAGGGGUAUUGGUUUUCGGACCAAGAGACCGGCGCACGGGUGCGUAACGCGUAUGCAAUCUACCUUUUGCAGAGGGAUAGCCCAGAGAAAUUUGGAUUAAUACCUCAUAGUAUAGUACUUUGGCAUCAAGGAACUAUUAAAGUCACAACGGCAAAAGAUGAGCAUGCGUCCCAUUAGCUAGUUGGUAAGGUAGCGGCUUACCAAGGCUACGAUGGGUAGGGGUCCUGAGAGGGAGAUCCCCCACACUGGUACUGAGACACGGACCAGACUCCUACGGGAGGCAGCAGUGAGGAAUAUUGGUCAAAUGGGCGCAAGCCUGAACCAGCCAUGCCGCGUGCAGGAAGACGGUCCUAUGGAUUGUAAACUGCUUUUGUACAGGAAGAAACACUACUUCGUGAAGUAGCUUGACGGUACUGUAAGAAUAAGGAUCGGCUAACUCCGUGCCAGCAGCCGCGGU